CAGCUCCGUGUCCUUGGCUCACCUUGAUGGCAAAGAGUGUUUAUUUUCAGGUUAAUUGAAAAUAGUUUCCUGUAUUUUAAUGAAAGCUCAUCAAACUACAUCCUGAUAGAAUAUACUGUUUAAAUUCUGUUUGAAAAGAAAAAGACUCUGCAUAUCUUCCUCAACAAAAACCAUAUUCUAAAGAUGAAAGAGAAGAGGAGACAGAAAAAGAGUGGACGGAACUCUGAAAUGCCAUCUUGAGUCUAUGUGAAGUCCUUUGUCCUUUGUCCUUAUGAAGACUAUCAGGAUUUGAAAGUCUGCUUUCAGGUGAAGGAUGCAAAUAUUCCAAGGGAGGUCUCCAAAAUUCAUCUCUCUCUUCUGUCUCAGGAUCAACGACAGGUAUCAGAGUGGAUUUCUGCUGUGGUCACCAAGAUGUGAACACAUAAGAGUCCAGGUUAAGGCUAUGGGUGGCUGUGACAGCCAUUGCAGUUACUUUUGCCCGCAUAUUUGCAUAUAUUGGUUAUCUCUGCCAGCCCUUCACAGAACUUCCUAUCAGGAAGAUAGUUAUAAUGAUAUAACAAGGCUCUGCAUCACCUGCAGGAUGAAUUCAGCCCCAUGGUAUGACAUUCCUGCUGUCCUGGCUCACCUGCUACCACCUGCUAUUUCUGCUUCACAGUGGUCUUAUUAGGAAUGGGAGAAUAUAAUAUGGCUUUUACAUGGAAGUGACAUAAUGAAAGAGCAAUAUUAGCUGUUUUUCUCUGUAAGAAAGAUUAAAAAGUAAAAUGUCAACAUAUUUUCUUUGAAGUUAAUUGACAUGGAUUUGAAUCCUAGAUUUUCUACCAAAUGUGAGUUUGGCUAA